rnacentral:rRNA from 1 species
UACAGAGGUCCCAAGCGUUGUUCGGAUUCACUGGGCGUAAAGGGUAGGUAGGUGGUCUCAUUUGUCUGGGGUGAAAGCCUUGAGCUUAACUCGAGAAGUGCCCCAGAAACGGUGAGACUAGAGUCCUGGAGAGGGUCGUGGAAUUCCCGGUGUAGCGGUGAAAUGCGUAGAGAUCGGGAGGAACACCAGAGGCGAAGGCGGCGACCUGGACAGGCACUGACACCCAACUACGAAAGCGUGGGGAGCAAACAGG